rnacentral:rRNA from 1 species
AACGAGCGCUGGCGGCGCGCUUAACACAUGCAAGUCGAGCGGUCUGGGGCAACUCAGGCAGCGGCGAACGGGUGCGUAACACGUGGGUAAUCUGCCCUGGAGACAGGGAUAACUCGCCGAAAGGCGAGCUAAUACCGGAUGAGCUCACAAGGCCGAGAGGUCUUGGGAGAAAAGUGGCAACACACUUCAGGAUGAGCCCGCGGCCCAUCAGCUAGUUGGCGGGGUAAAGGCCCACCAAGGCAACGACGGGUAGCUGGUCUGAGAGGACGACCAGCCACACUGGAACUGAGACACGGUCCAGACUCCUACGGGAGGCAGCAGUGGGGAAUCUUGCGCAAUGGGCGAAAGCCUGACGCAGCGACGCCGCGUGUGCGAUGAAGGUCUUCGGAUCGUAAAGCACUGUCGCGAGGGACAAAACCGAAACGGGUAGGAUGGUACCUCGAGAGGAAGCACCGGCUAACUCUGUGCCAGCAGCCGCGGUAAUAC